GCGCCGUUGCGUUUCAUGAACACUACUUCACCUUUCCUCCGCCAAGGAACGCCUUGAAAAUGCGCCCUCGACUUAAGUGAAGUGUAUCGACCGAGAAAAGUGUCUGAUGUCGAGACUAUUCUUCAAUGUGCUUAUUAAAAGUCCCAUUAUUUAAGACAAAUAUGUGUUUCAGUUCAUUCGUCUUCCUAAUCAAACAACUACACGGCGCAAUGCACAACUUUAGCUCGGCAACGCUGCCACUGUGAGCAUUCGACUGAUAGAGCAAGCGGGAGCUGUGUUUGAGGUCUGGCAACAAUCGCAUCCCAACAGCUGAGAGCAUGGCGCAUGGCUGAGAACCAAGAUAAUUUGCGCCGGCAUUUGUCCGCUGCUCUUUGUUUCCUAGUGUUUCAUUGGUGACUGACGCUGCGGUUCUUAAUCGAGGUUAUGAUGGGUGAUUUUGUCCUUGUGCGUAUGGUGACCGAGCCUGAAUGACUUCUGAGGCCACAGAUGGUAUGGACGAUGGGCAGCUUUGUUUACCUUCAAGACCGAGUGGUGCUGUGAGUUUGCUGAAAGCAACAACAGGACAGAAAAUAUGGGAUGUGGGCCUUGGAAGGACCAGCUGAUGAAAAAAUCAACGCCUGUGCUGCACAGUAAGGCUUCUGGUAGACCUGAAAGCAUCGAUAGAUAUGGUGCCUGCCUGUUGGAAUUGCACCAGCUCGCUUCCCUGAAAGAAGCUAGGUGCUGAAGAAGUACUUGACUAACCUACCCG
rnacentral:lncRNA from 1 species